CCCUUAGAUGUUCUGGGCCGCACGCGCGCUACACUGACUGGUGCAACAAGUGUCUGACCUUGGCUCGAGAGGCCUGGGCAACCUUUGAACGCCAGUCGUGCUGGGGAUAGAUUCUUGCAAUUAUUAAUCUUCAACGAGGAAUUCCUAGUAAACGCAAGUCAUCAGCUUGCAUUGAUUACGUCCCUGCCCUUUGUACACACCGCCCGUCGCUCCUACCGAUUGAAUGGUCCGGUGAAGCGUUCGGACCGUGGCCUUUGGACGGUUCGCCGUCUGUUGGCUGCGGGAAGUUCGUUAAACCUUAUCAUUUAGAGGAAGGAGAANUCGUANCA
rnacentral:rRNA from 1 species